UUUGGGUGGGGGGGUUGUUUUCAAGUAGAGUUUUUAUUUCAUCCUCAGUUGGUUCAGCAACACGCUCCACCAUUUUCUUCUUCUUCUUCUUUAGGGUUUUUUUGGCAGUUGGAAAACCAACUUAAAGGUGCAUUACUGCCACCAACUGGGCUAGAGUGUGGAACAGUAGAUUUUUUGGGGAAAAAAAACUAUAUUUUUUAGCUAUUUCUGUUUCUUUUAAGUACUUGAUAACAAAGUGACUUGAUGUGUUCCGCCAUAGGGGUGUAAAUAUUAAUCAAUUCGUAUCGAUGCAUCGAUUAUACAGCCGAUGAUUCAGUGCAUCGAUGCGUCCACAAGAGUAUCGAUUAAUGAGUUUAUUUUGCCACCUUUUUGUUCGCCUGUCUAUUUUCAGCAUCCGCGCCAACGUAGGCGUACUACCUACUCCAAAGCUGCGGGUGGCGCUAACCUCAUUAUUGUUGCUAACUUCACUUAUACUUCACAUGCAUUACUUUCGUUUCACACAUUUGAGUGUGACUUUCGAAAGCGAUGGGACCGCAAGAAGGAACAAGCAAUGAAAGUGAAAUGUUGCACACUCCAGUCGGCGUAAAGUCAUGGGUGUGGAAGUAUUUGGGCUUCAGAAAAACAGAUGGAGCAGUGGUAAGAGAUGUUGCCGUUUGCAAAGAGAAAGACUGUCUGUGUGAGAUAAGAUACUGCGGCAAUACAUCAAAUCUAUCCACACACCUGAAAAGGCGCCAUGGUAUUGAUGGCGACUGUCCAGAAAGAACACAGGCUUCCAAGCCUGACACAUCACUGACGACAUAUUUCCCUCAAAAGUUGUUGAGUACUUCAAAAAGAGCAAAAACCAUCACCAAGGCCAUCGCGUUUUUUAUGUGCAAAGAUAUGAGGCCCUAUUGUGUCAUAGAGAACGAAAGCUUUAGAUACCUGCUCAAAGUUCUUGAGCCAAGGUACAGUAUCCCCUUACGGCAACAUUUCAGCGAGUCCUAUAUUCCGAACUUGUACACCAAAGUUCGUGAUGAAGUUAUUCAGGGUCUGAUGAGUGCAGAGCGAGUAGCCAUAACUUCCGAUGGAUGGACUUCAUGUACAACGGAGUCUUACAUCACUGUAACGUGUCAUUUCAUUGACAACAAAUGGCAAAUGAAAAACCAUGUUUUACAGACUCGUGUUUUGGGAGACAUUCAGGAGUUAAUAUCGGGCAGGUUCUGAGAGGUGCGUGUGAAGAGUGGGGUAUAUUGGACAAGGCACUGGCUUUCGUCACCGACAACGCUUCUAACAUGAUCAAAGCUGAUGAAGAGGCAGAGAUGUCACCACACAUAAAGUGCUUCGCACACACACUCAAUCUGAUAACACAAGACGCCCUGAAGACUGCGUCCACAGAAAGGCUUUUAGGGCGCGUGAGAAGAAUUGUGGGGGUUUUUCAGCGCAGUUGCAACCACAGUUUUGAAGGAGAAGCAAAGUUUUCUGGGGCUUCCACGCCACAAGCUCAAAGCAGACGUGAAAACCCAAUGGAAUAGUUCUUUCAAGAUGUUGGAACGAUUUCUUGAACAACAAGCUGCGGUGAUGGCGACACUUCUCAACAAGAAAGUCAGAAAAGGCUCGUGUGACAUGCACACACUCCGUGAAAGUGAUCUCUUGACUACCGAACAAAUGGUGAGUUUGCUAGCUCCGCUAAAGGCUGCUACCACUCUGAUGUGCGAGGAGAAGCAACUCACUGUGUCCAUCAUCUCACCUCUCCGAAUGAAGUUGUUGGCGCAUUUCGAAUCCACACCGGAUGACGCCCCCUUAAUCAAAGACAUGAAACGACUCAUGGCUGAUGAUCUUCGAGAGCGGUAUGUGGACAAGGAACCAUUCUUAAUCCGAGCAGCUGCUUUGGACCCCUGAUUCAAAAAGCUUCCUUUCCUGGGUGAUGAGAGAAGAAACCAAACCUUUGAAUAUCUUGCUGAAGAAGUGGCACAGCUGAAGGAACAGAGGAAUGAGUCAGAGACCCAGCCUGAGGAAACACCUCACUCUUCUCAUGACCCGAUUCCUAUGGAGCUAAAUGAGUUGUGUGAUGCGGAAACCACUGAAGAAUGCCCUCCUGUUUCCAAGAAAUCAAAGGUAUUAGAGGACCUGUUUGACGACUCCUUCUGUACUGAGGACCAAAAUGUCAGAGACAA